UACGAAGGGUGCAAGCGUUACUCGGAAUUACUGGGCGUAAAGCGUGCGUAGGUGGUGAGUUAAGUCUGUCGUGAAAGCCCCGGGCUCAACCUGGGAAUGGCGAUGGAUACUGGCUCGCUAGAGUGCGGUAGGGGAGACUGGAAUUCCUGGUGUAGCGGUGAAAUGCGCAGAUAUCAGGAGGAACACCGGUGGCGAAGGCGGGUCUCUGGGCCGAAAUUGACGCUGAGGAGCGAAAGCGUGGGGAGCAAACAGG
rnacentral:rRNA from 1 species